GGUGUGUGGAAGUCAGAGACAACUGACUUGCAGCAGUUGGUCCUGGGAUCAACCCAGGCCAUCAGCCUUGGUGGCAAGUGUCUUUACCCACUGAGACAUCUCUCCAUGCCCACCUUCUUUGCUAUUUAGCCCAGACUGGCCUGGAACUCAUUAAAUAGCUCCAUCUGGCUUCAUACUUUGGACAGUCCUCCCACCUCUGCCUCCUGAUUGUGGGCACAUGCCACCAUGCCUGGCCUGUCUCCCGGCCUUUGGAUCUCUUUUGGAUACAGUCUUCACUUCUCCUAAGGUCUCCUGUACCUGGCUUGUCUUGGUCACUCUGACCACAAGUCUUACUAAUAAAACCACAAACCACUGGAACUGAGAGCCAUCACUCAGCUGAAAACAACUUGUGAUACAGAUAAGAAGACUGAGGCCCAGACAGGACCAGUGUCGCCCAUGAUCACACUGCAAGUCUCAGACUCCAUGCCUUUGACUCCUUUGUUCUCUGUGCCGUAUCAAAGAAGACAGUUUGGCUCAGAUCACGUUCUGGAAGCAUGGGGUUGAAAUGACCUGGAGAGUUCAGAAGACUCCAGCUGCCUACCAGCAUCUAAGCCGGAAAUUUCAGAACCAAAGUGACCCUUGUGCCUUGUUCCUGGCUACCCCAACCAGCAGGCUGUAUAAACCCAUCCAAAACCACUGUUUAAAAGCUGGA